rnacentral:lncRNA from 1 species
GGCCAUGACCUGCUUGGCAGCCGCAGCCCCAUCCAUUUCCGCCUCCACCAGCUUGGACAUGAGGCACUCCUUCUCCUGUUGACCUGAGUCAUCAUCUUCUGUAGAGAGGUCACUUAACCGCAUCACUGAGACCAGCUUUUCUGAAGAUGGUGGCGUGAUCUCCAGGCAAUGAGGUGGAUUCUGAUGUAGAGGAGGGAGAAACACAUGAACUCAGAAGGCAGAACCUUGACCACGAGUUCCACCACUGGAGGCUUAUUUACUGAUUAGACGGGAAAAGCUGUAACAGCUAACUCGGGGACCCCAUGAAGAACAUACUCUGAACCCUCGUGAUGGAACAUUACCUAUCCAUGUUUAAAUGAUGGUUUUGGAGAAUUCCCAACAUCAAAAUUAAAAGCUUGGGCUACA